rnacentral:sRNA from 1 species
AGCCCCAAACUCACCACCUGGCCGUGGACACCUGUGUCAGCAUGUGGGACCUGGUUUUCUCCAUCGCCUUGUCUGUGGGGUGCACUGGAAUAGCCAGGUCUGGCUGGGUCGGCACAACCUGUUUGAGCCUGAAGACACAGGCCAGAGGGUCCCUGUCAGCCACAGCUUCCCACACCCGCUCUACAAUAUGAGCCUUCUGAAGCAUCGAAGCCUUAGACCAGAUGAAGACUCCAGCCAUGACCUCAUGCUGCUCCGCCUGUCAGAGCCUGCCAAGAUCACAGAUGCUGUGAAGGUCCUGGGCCUGCCCACCCAGGAGCCAGCACUGGGGACCACCUGCUACGCCUCAGGCUGGGGCAGCAUCGAACCAGAGGAGUGUACGCCUGGGCCAGAUGGUGUAGCUGGGAGCCCAGAUGCCUGGGUCUGAGGGAAGUGGGGCCAAAGAACCAGGUGGGGUCCGGCCACAGCCCAGUUUUUCUCUGACCCAUAGUCUUGCGCCCCAAGAGUCUUCAGUGCGUGAGCCUCCAUCUCCUGUCCAAUGACAUGUGUGCUAGAGCUUACUCUGAGAAGGUGACAGAGUUCAUGUUGUGUGCUGGGCUCUGGACAGGUGGUAAAGACACUUGUGGGGUGAGUCAUCCCUACUCCCAACAUCUGGAGGGGAAAGGUGAGUGAAGACCCUAAUUCUGGGCUGCAAUCUGAAAGCUAACCAGACAUCUGCCUCCCCUGCUCCCCAGCUAUAGCCACGCCCCCUCCCCAUGCCUCAUCUGCCACCCUCCUUCCCCCUUCCCUGACUCCCUCAACACAAGAGGUGAUUCUCACAGCAUAAUUCACCCAUUCCUGUGUUGAGCACAUGCUUACUGGGCACCUGCUACGUGACCAGCAUUGCCGUAGACCCUGGGAAGCAGCAGUGAACA